rnacentral:rRNA from 1 species
CAAGAACAUGAAGUUAGGUCAGCA